GGGACAGUAUUCUGCCUACUGUAAAUACCAUAAUCAUUCGUGAAAAUGAACCAAGAUGGCAGCAAGAGAAACUCCACAGAGAAGAAGCCUAUUACUGGUUUAUUAAUGAACAUGGUGUUGGUUGCCAGAGGAAAACCAUAAGCUUCCAAGCACUACUGGAGAAAUAACAUCAGUUGCUUCCAAUCAAUCACUGUUCGAUGGAUCCAGGCACAUGCCCCACCUCAGCCUGACCUGAGAAUAGGGUAAUUGGGACAUAUGUCAGAGGCUCAGGAGUCCCUAAAAAAAUUUCAAAUAGAGAAUCUUUUUAAAAUGUCUGAACACCUUUUAUUGCACAUAAAAUGCACCUUAAAGUGGACAAGAUGGGAACCAAACAUUGAAAUCUGUGAGUUGAAUAAAUCCAGUGAAGAGUGUUGGCUUCAGCCAGAAAUCAAUAUAAAUCAUGAAAAUAAGUGGAUUUUAAAUUCCUGGUAUAGGAAAGAUUAGAAAUGAAAUUUGGAAUCAAUAGGCAAGUUCUAGACCUAUUGCUCUGCAUGCUAAUUUACUUAGUGGUUAUGCAAGCCAAUCAGAUAGUAGUGAAUUCAGGCAAAAGAAGGAAAACCAUUUGGAGAAGCACAUAUUUGGGGAAAAUAGUGCUAGAAUCAUUAUUACAAUGAGAAACACAGUUCAGAGACUAGAGCCAACAAGGUUACAUUAUACCUUAAAUAAUCAAAGUUGUUGGCCAAUUCAGAAACAACUAUACUGCUUAUUCUGAGGAAUAUAAUUCACAGAGGGAAAAAAGAUCUUUACACAGACUUUAGAAGGUCUAUCAGGAGAACAGCUAUAGCUCUUUCUUCUUAAGAGACAGAGAACACAGAAAAGUUUCAUUCCUUAAUUCAAGACUUGAGUCAAGUAAAGCAGUGGAAGAAGAAAAAGAAUACAGCAGGUCCAAACUGCUACCAACACCAUCCAACUAUCACACUAGACUGUCAAGUUGAGGGGAUAGAGAUUGGGACAGUGUUACAAAUGGAUCUGAGCCCAGAGCAAAACUGUCAGAAAAUGCAAAUACCAAUGAAAGCAGCAGCGGGGGCUUUUGUCAAACCACUUCUUGUUCAGAGCAGACAAGUACCAGGACUUCUGUCAUAAUAAUCUAUCUUUCUUCGUCGGACUUCAGAGAGCCAGGCUAACAAGCCCUUCAUCGGUGGCUUUUAUAUCAAUUUUAAACCAAUCAUGACUGAGUUUGGAGAGCUGAAGUCUCUUCAGGGAGACUACAUCUCAGUCAGAGACUCAAAGGAACAUCAGCACUGACCAGCAGUGUGAUCAGAACUGAGGGAAGCAGGGUCAGUUACUGAGGGCAGCAAACGCAAGGCAGAUUCAAGAGAGCACAUCCAGAAGGCAGCACUGAAAUGCAAGGUGAAAAUGAGCUUGCCUCAACUCAUUCUAAAACCUAUGAAAACAGAGUCGACAAAGAGAGAAGGAAUUUAGUGGGAACUGAAACUUUCCCUAUUCUUAGCAUUAUCCACUUGGUUUUACUAGAUGACAAUAAUGAUGAUCAUAUUGAUGAUUACACACAGGUUGAAUUACAGAGCAGACUGACCAUCUUUCCCCCAGGAACUAGGAAGCAUCAGUAUUCAGAGCGAAUCAAGUAAAAUCUGCAGUGUUUGUUUCAGUAGCUGACUGGCAGGAACUAAGCUCAGGCAAUUCCUCACAUGCACGCGUUUUACAGCCAUCGUAUUGCUCAGUAGCUGCGAGACACCUACAGUCAUCCUGUAUGUUGGCAGCCUGUUUGAGAAUCCAGGAUGGCUAAC
rnacentral:lncRNA from 10 species